rfam:Cylindrospermum stagnale PCC 7417, complete genome.
GGGAGCCGGAUGUAGCGAAAGUUGCACGUCCGGUUCUAAUUGGGAGGGGCGGGAGAUAAUACUCCCCCUCGACCUAAC